AACGAACGCUGGCGGCAGGCCUAACACAUGCAAGUCGAGCGCGCCUUCGGGUGAGCGGCGGACGGGUGAGUAACGCGUGGGAAUAUGUCCUUCUCUACGGAAUAGUCCUGGGAAACUGGGGGUAAUACCGUAUACGCCCUUUGGGGGAAAGAUUUAUCGGGGAAGGAUUAGCCCGCGUUGGAUUAGGUAGUUGGUGGGGUAAUGGCCUACCAAGCCGACGAUCCAUAGCUGGUUUGAGAGGAUGAUCAGCCACACUGGGACUGAGACACGGCCCAGACUCCUACGGGAGGCAGCAGUGGGGAAUCUUAGACAAUGGGGGCAACCCUGAUCUAGCCAUGCCGCGUGAGUGAUGAAGGCCUUAGGGUUGUAAAGCUCUUUCAGCUGGGAAGAUAAUGACGGUACCAGCAGAAGAAGCCCCGGCUAACUCCGUG
rnacentral:rRNA from 1 species